GAUGAACGCUAGCGGCAGGCUUAACACAUGCAAGUCGAGGGGUAUAGGUUUUCGGACCUAGAGACCGGCGCACGGGUGCGUAACGCGUAUGCAAUCUACCUUUCACAGAGGGAUAGCCCAGAGAAGUUUGGAUUAAUACCUCAUAGUAUAGCAGUUUCGCAUGAAACCACUAUUAAAGUUCCAACGGUGAAAGAUGAGCAUGCGUCCCAUUAGCUAGAUGGUAAGGUAACGGCUUACCAUGGCUACGAUGGGUAGGGGUCCUGAGAGGGAGAUCCCCCACACUGGUACUGAGACACGGACCAGAGUCCUACGGGAGGCAGCAGUGAGGAAUAUUGGUCAAUGGACGCAAGUCUGAACCAGCCAUGCCGCGUGCAGGAUGACGGUCCUAUGGAUUGUAAACUGCUUUUGUACAGGAAGAAACACUCCCUCGUGAGGGAGCUUGACGGUACUGUAAGAAUAAGGAUCGGCUAACUCCGUGCCAGCCGCCGCCGUAAGAC
rnacentral:rRNA from 1 species